UCAUUAAUUCAUUAACUGUUAAUUUGUUAGUACCUAACUACUUGGUUAACCUGGUUAAUUCUGGGGCUAUACCAUGCUAAAAGCCCGAACUCCGGAAGGGGUGUAUUAUUUAAAUAAAAAACCAUUGCCCUUUGGGGCUCCUUGGGGAUCCACAAUACCUUACCGAAUCGCAGGGCCUUGUGCCGGCAAUGGUUCAUUCAAUUUUCUGCCUUAUCAACUUCCAAUGGUAGAGUAUUGGCCUACCAUGGUUUCAACGGGUAACGGGAAAUUAGGUUCCUAUUCCGGAAAGGAAGCCGGAAAAACGGCUACCACUUCCAAGGAAGGCACCAGGCCCCCAAAUUACCCAAUCCCAACACGGGA
rnacentral:rRNA from 1 species